rnacentral:rRNA from 1 species
CCUACGGGUGGCAGCAGUGAGGAAUAUUGGUCAAUGGGCGAGAGCCUGAACCAGCCAAGUCGCGUGAGGGAGUACUGCCCUAUGGGUUGUAAACCUCUUUUGUCGGGGGGCAAAAGCCGGACGUGUCCGGCUGUGAGAGUACCCGAAGAAAAAGCAUCGGCUAACUCCGUGCCAGCAGCCGCGGUAAUACGGAGGAUGCGAGCGUUAUCCGGAUUUAUUGGGUUUAAAGGGUGCGCAGGCGGAUUUUUAAGUCAGCGGUAAAAUCGUGGGGCUCAACCCCAUCCAGCCGUUGAAACUGGGGAUCUAGAGUGUGCGAGAGGUAUGCGGGAUGCGUGGUGUAGCGGUGAAAUGCAUAGAUAUCACGCAGAACCCGGAUUGCGAAGGCAGCAUACCGGUGCACAACUGACGCUCAGGCACGAAAGCGUGGGUAUCGAACAGGAUUAGAUACCCCAGUAGUC